AGUGGACGCUGGCGGUAGGCCUAACACAUGCAAGUCGAACGGCAGCACAGUAAGAGCUUGCUCUUACGGGUGGCGAGUGGCGGACGGGUGAGGAAUACAUCGGAAUCUACUUUUUCGCGGGGGAUAACGUAGGGAAACUUACGCUAAUACCGCAUACGACCUACGGGUGAAAGCAGGGGAUCUUCGGACCUUGCGCGAUUGAAUGAGCCGAUGUCGGAUUAGCUAGUUGGCGGGGUAAAGGCCCACCAAGGCGACGAUCCGUAGCUGGUCUGAGAGGAUGAUCAGCCACACUGGAACUGAGACACGGUCCAGACUCCUACGGGAGGCAGCAGUGGGGAAUAUUGGACAAUGGGCGCAAGCCUGAUCCAGCCAUACCGCGUGGGUGAAGAAGGCCUUCGGGUUGUAAAGCCCUUUUGUUGGGAAAGAAAAGCAGCAGGUUAAUACCCCGCUGUUCUGACGGUACCCAAAGAAUAAGCACCGGCUAACUUCGUG
rnacentral:rRNA from 1 species